CAACACACGUUUACUUUACCUUUACAUCAUUCCCAGCAGGAGCAAAGUGAAUAGCAACAUUCUGUUUGGUUCCGUGACCGGUGCUGACAGAUUGAGUGGGUUGAUCCAUGUACUUACAUUCACAGAUUCCAUGAUGCCAGUGUGAGUUGAAGACAGUUUAAAAGAGCUUCAGUCCAUUUAGUUUGCAGAUUGAGAGCAACUCCAGUACAGCAUUCAUGGAAAAAGAAGACUAAAAGGAACAGAACUGAGCGACAGGAGUUAUUACCAUUUCAGAUGCUGGUAGCACAAGCUUGCCUGGGCAAUGUGAAAUAUAGCAAAAGAAAAUGGUAAUCCAAAAAGAAAAGUGGUAUGUAGACAGCAGCCAAGUGGAGGUCAGAAUGUCAAAAAAUCUCUUUCACACAGAAUGUAAUAAGAUUAUUUAUGUGUGUAAAAUCCACAUUCCCUGUAAGGCUUCUCUCACCUGUGCUAUUUAUACAGAGUACCAAUUCAACAAUGGUAGCAGAUGCCUAGGAAAGGCUCAGUAACACCGUAAUGUUGGCUGUUAGAGCUCCAAAGCUGAGAAUGAAUCCUGUAAGCAGGUGAAGCUAACUCUUGAUGCCGGCAGGACUGUGGGCUGAUUACAGUUGUCAUAGGGAUGGACAUUCCUGUGAUGAGUUCUCCAUCCCAAGCCAUAAUGUUUGUAAGCUCUUACGAUGUUAGGUGGUCUCUUCACAUUGUGAGUAUCAUUACAAUGACUCUUCCAGCAUAUCAGUGGCAGUUGUGUUGACCGCCUUAACUUUCUCAAAGAGUGGGCCAAUAUAUGAGAAGAAGAUCUAAUAUGUCAACAAAUUAAAUGUUACCAAGUAUAU